GUGGGGAAUCUUAGACAAUGGGGGAAACCCUGAUCUAGCCAUGCCGCGUGAGCGAUGAAGGCCUUAGGGUUGUAAAGCUCUUUCAGCUGGGAAGAUAAUGACGGUACCAGCAGAAGAAGCCCCGGCUAACUCCGUGCCAGCAGCCGCGGUAAUACGGAGGGGGCUAGCGUUGUUCGGAAUUACUGGGCGUAAAGCGCGCGUAGGCGGACCAGAAAGUUGGAGGUGAAAUCCCAGGGCUCAACCUUGGAACUGCCUUCAAAACUCCUGGUCUGGAGUUCGAGAGAGGUAAGUGGAAUUCCGAGUGUAGAGGUGAAAUUCGUAGAUAUUCGGAGGAACACCAGUGGCGAAGGCGGCUCACUGGCUCGAUACUGACGCUGAGGUGCGAAAGCGUGGGGAGCAAACAGGAUUAGAAACCCCUGUAGUCC
rnacentral:rRNA from 1 species